rnacentral:piRNA from 1 species
UAAAUAACCAAGUUUAGGUCUCGGGUGAA